ACCCACAUACAAAAGAGAAACAAGAAAAGAGAGAAGAAAUUGAGAGAUAUAGAACGAUGAAGACGCAAGUGACUAUACUAGCGGCUCUUAUGAUUCUGGUGGCUUUGUCUUCCACCUUGGAUAUGGUGACGGUAACAGAGGCUCAAGUAAACUGCAUCGACAGUUGCACCACCGGCUGCGUCAAGCCCACCCCAAAAGAGACGAUCCGAUGCCACCACGAAUGCGACAAAAAGUGCAACCGAGGUGGUAAAGGAGGAAGUGAGACUGGCGCUUAAACUUUAUUUUCACUAAGAUCCACAAAGAUACAACUGUGUUGUAAUCUUAUCUUUAUAAUCCUAUUCCUAUCUUUCUAAAACGUAUUAUGCAUAUUGUAAGUUGUAACCAAUAAAUCAAGUGGUUGUAGUUCAUCGUUGUGUUAAAAUGGUAAAGGAUUUGUCCUAUAGAUCAAAUCCCUCCCACCAACUGUGGACCUCCUUGUUGGCUUUCUAUAUAGUCUAUGCUUCUGGGUUAUUCA